rnacentral:rRNA from 1 species
GAUGAACGCUGGCGGCAGGCCUAACACAUGCAAGUCGAGGGAUAAGCCCUUUCGGGGGCUGUCACCAGCACACGGGUGCGUGACGCGUAUGCAACCUACCUUUCACAGGGAGAUAGCGCGAAGAAAUUUGGAUUAAUACUCCAUCAUCUUAUUAGAUGGCGUCAUUUGAUAUUUAAUACUAAGGUGGAGCAAGAUGGGCAUGCGUCCUAUUAGCUAGUUGGAGUGGUAACGGCACCCCAAGGCUACGAUAGGUAGGGGUACGGAGAGGGAGAUCCCCCAGACUGGGACUGGGACAGGGACCAGACGCCUACGGGAAGCAGCAGUGAGGAAGAUAGGGCAAUGGUCGGGAGACUGAACCAGCCAGGCCGCGUGCAGGAAGAAUGGCUUAUGGGUUGUAAUCUGCUGUGAUAUGGGAAGAAUAAGGUGUACGUGUACGUUGAUGACGGUACCAUAUGAAUAAGCAUCGGCUAACUACGUG